ACUGGACCAAGAAGGUGAGGACCCAGAAAAGGCAUUAUCUUUUGCUACUAGAGCUCUGAAAGUUAUUGAUAAAGAUGGUAAUAAACCUUCUCUACUUCUUGCCAUGGCUUUGCAAUUAAUGGGCUCUGCUAAUUGUAGUUUAAAAAGGUUUAGUGAUAGUUUAGGGUAUUUAAAUAGGGCUAAUAGGAUAUUGUGUAAGCUAGGGGAGGAGGGAAGUAAUAAUGUAGGGGAUAUGAAGUCAGUGCUGCAUGCGGUGCAACUAGAGUUAGCGAAUGUGAAGACAGCAAUGGGGAGGAGAGAGGAGGCUUUAGAGAAUCUUAGG
rnacentral:misc_RNA from 1 species